rnacentral:rRNA from 1 species
CCUACGGGAGGCAGCAGUGGGGAAUAUUGCACAAUGGGGGAAACCCUGAUGCAGCGACGCCGCGUGAGUGAAGAAGUAUUUCGGUACGUAAAGCUCUAUCAGCAGGGAAGAAAAUGACGGUACCUGACUAAGAAUCCCCGGCUAACUACGUGCCAGCAGCCGCGGUAAUACGUAGGGGGCAAGCGUUAUCCGGAAUUAAUGGGUGUAAAGGGGGCGUAGACGGCGGGUCAAGUCAGGAGGGAAAUCCCAUGGCUGAACCAUGGAACUGCUUUGGAAACUGUGGCGCAGGAGUGCAGGAGAGGUAAGCGGAAUUCCUAGUGUAGCGGUGAAAUGCGUAGAUAUUAGGAGGAACACCAGUGGCGAAGGCGGCUUACUGGACUGUAACUGACGUUGAGGCUCGAAAGCGUGGGGAGCAAACAGGAUUAGAUACCCGAGUAGUC